rnacentral:rRNA from 1 species
AUUGAACGCUAGCGGGAUGCCUUACACCUGCAAGUCGAACGGAGUGGCGAACGGGUGAUUAAUGUAUCGGUACGUGCCCAGUAGCGGGGGAUAACUACGCGAAAGCGUAGCUAAUACCGCAUACUAUUGGAGCGGCCGACCUCGGAUGGGCUAGUUGGUGGGGUAACGGCUCACCAAGGAGACGAUCCGUAGCUGGUUUGAGAGGAAGACCAGCCACACUGGGACUGAGACACGGCACAGACUCCUACGGGAGGCAGCAGUGGGGAAUUUUGGACAAUGGGGGAAACCCUGAUCCAGCAAGCCCGCGUGUGCGAUGAAGGCCUUCGGGUUGGAAAGCACUUUUGGCAGGAAAGCGGUACCUGCAGAAUAAGCACCGGCUAACUACGUGCCAGCAGCCGCGGUAAUAC